rnacentral:rRNA from 1 species
UACGAGGGGGGCAAAUGUUGUUCGGAAUCACUGGGCGUAAAGGGAGCGUAGGCGGGUUUUUAAGUCAGGUGUUUAAUCCCGGGGCCCAACCCCGGACAGGCACUUGAAACUGGGAAUCUUGAAUAGGGGAGAGGUCAGUGGAAUUGGAGGUGUAGCGGUGGAAUGCGUAGAGAUCUCCAAGAACACCAGUUGCGAAGGCGGCUGACUGGACCCAUAUUGACGCUGAGGCUCGAAAGCAUGGGGAGCAAACAGG